GUUAGGAAUAUUGGACAAUGGGCGAAAGCCUGAUCCAGCCAUGCCGCGUGUGUGAAGAAGGUCUUCGGAUUGUAAAGCACUUUAAGUUGGGAGGAAGGGCAGUAAGUUAAUACCUUGCUGUUUUGACGUUACCGACAGAAUAAGCACCGGCUAACUUCGUGCCAGCAGCCGCGGUAAUACGAAGGGUGCAAGCGUUAAUCGGAAUUACUGGGCGUAAAGCGCGUGUAGGCUGACAUGCAAGUCGGGUGUGAAAUCCCAGGGCUCAACCUUGGAACUGCACUCGAAACUGCACGUCUUGAGUACUGGAGAGGGAAGCGGAAUUCCGGGUGUAGAGGUGAAAUUCGUAGAUAUCCGGAGGAACACCAGUGGCGAAGGCGGCUUCCUGGACAGUAACUGACGCUGAGACGCGAAAGCGUGGGGAGCAAACAGGAUUAGAUACCCUUGUAGUCC
rnacentral:rRNA from 1 species